GCCCGGCUAGCUCAAUCGGUAGACCUAGAGCGUGAGACUCUUAAUCUCAAGGUUGUGGUGUGGGUUCGACCCCCACGUCGGGCU